GUCGGCUUGUGGCUAACUUUGUUAAGGUUCCCCAUAGAUGGCAUGACUAACUAGAAUCAAAUUAAUUUAAUAGAAAGCAAAAAAUUUAGUUUUGAGGUCUUAAAUAUAUAUAUUUUAUAUUAAUUUGAAUAAUAAAGACACAUUAACCAAUUAGUAAAUUAAAAUAAUCGAUUCUAUCACGUCACACCGUACCAUUCUAGACUGUGUCAAAUCUUACAAAGAAAUUUUGCCCCUGGCAGCUCUAGGCUCUGUCACUUUAUUUACUUCCGUUCAUUUAGUUUCGUAUUAGUAGUUUUUUAUACAUCAUUCAUUUUCCUUGCCUACAAUUUGUUAUUAAAUCCCAAAAUUAUUAAUUAAAGUCAAAAUUACCAAAGAUACCUCAACUACCAGUGUCACAGUGAUUUAACACUUUAAUAAGCAGAUAAGUGACAAACAUCCAACCACCAUAUUGUAAUUCAUCAAGUUGCAUAGAUAAAGUUGACAAAUAAUAAUUACCAUUACCAUGACAGAAGUUUAAACUGAACUGGAAAAGAUCGUCCUCGAGUCGAGUGCGCUUUUUAUGAUUCUCUUAAUAUCCUACCCAUUGCAUAUCGCAAGAACUGUACAAGACAAACGAAAUAGAAUUUCGGAUUCAAACACGAUCAUGUUCUUUACUUUCGUCAAAAAUUUAUAAAUCUUCAAUGAAUCUAGUGCCGUAAGAUGACCUAUUACCUAAUGUUUAAACUAUCUAGAACCAGGGAUGUUUAAUUAAUGUGCCUAGCUACUGACAGUGCGAGUGAAAUAAACUUAAAAUAUGGAAACUGUUCCUACAAGCAAGCAGGCUGACAACUAUUGAAUGUGGUGUGGACAAGUCAUUACUGAAGAAAAAUAAGUUGAAAUUACACUGUGAGACUCCGUUUACUGAUUUUGAUGAAUCUUUCCUGAGCUUUAAGACAAACAGAGUCAACUCUGAUGGCUGCCUAUAUAUACCUAUACCUAGCGAUCUUGUGAUAUUUAUGCGGAGUGGAGCAAACUUCCAUUUGCUGUUUUCAUGGGCUUUUCCGAGUCUCUCGAUAAUCUCCAAUGCUAUUUGGGACAUUGUCCGAGCCACACAGCGAGUCUAUCAUCCACCUGACCUCAAUCUUUCUCCUGCUGACUGCUUCUAUUUAUGAAAGAUUAUGAAGAAGCAGACCACUCCAGACUCCUGUUCAAUGACUUUAUUUCACGACUUUUGCUGCAACAAUGGCUGCUGUCUUCUGACACUUGAAAGCUCCCGUUCAACGGCUCUAGUACAAGAAACCUGCUCCUACAUCAGCAGUGGUCUACAUUGAAUACUACUUAUAGGGAAAAUUUCACUCAAGAUCUUCCUUUAUAUUAGGUAUCAAGGCGCAAGAAGGUGAAUUUAUAAUUGAUUAUUAUGUGAUGACAAUUCUUAGCUGAGGAAUAUGAAAAGAAUCCCUAACAACAGCGAGAAAAGAACGAGUAAAGAAGAUUGAUAAACUUAUUAAUUAGACAAUAACUCUAAGGAUUUUUUUUUUGUACAUAGUAACAGUUUCAGAAAUAAACGUUAGGUUUCAUGGC